rnacentral:rRNA from 1 species
UACGUAGGCAGCGAGCGUUGUUCGGAGUUACUGGGCGUAAAGAGUGCGUAGGCGGUUUUCUAAGUUUGGUGUGAAAUCUCCCGGCUCAACUGGGAGGGUGCGCCGAAGACUGGAAGGCUUGAGUAUGGGAGAGGUAAGCGGAAUUCCUGGUGUAGCGGUGAAAUGCGUAGAUAUCAGGAGGAACACCUGCGGUGUAGACGGCUUACUGGACCAUAACUGACGCUGAGGCACGAAAGCGUGGGGAGCAAACAGG